UCGUUUACUGUUGUUCAUUCU
rnacentral:siRNA from 1 species